rnacentral:rRNA from 1 species
AACGAACGCUGGCGGCAUGCCUAACACAUGCAAGUCGAACGAGACCUUCGGGUCUAGUGGCGCACGGGUGCGUAACGCGUGGGAACCUGCCCUUAGGUUCGGAAUACCUCCCCGAAAGGGGUGCUAAUACCGGAUAAUGUCUUCGGCCCAAAGAUUUAUCGCCUUUGGAUGGGCCCGCGUUGGAUUAGCUAGUUGGUAGGGUAAAAGCCUACCAAGGCGACGAUCCAUAGCUGGUCUGAGAGGAUGAUCAGCCACACUGGGACUGAGACACGGCCCAGACUCCUACGGGAGGCAGCAGUGGGGAAUAUUGGACAAUGGGCGAAAGCCUGAUCCAGCAAUGCCGCGUGAGUGAUGAAGGCCUUAGGGUUGUAAAGCUCUUUUACCCGGGAUGAUAAUGACAGUACCGGGAGAAUAAGCUCCGGCUAACUCCGUG